rnacentral:rRNA from 1 species
UACAGAGGGGGCAAGCGUUGCUCGGAAUCACUGGGCGUAAAGGGCGCGUAGGCGGGCUGGUAAGUCGGUCGUGAAAUCCUUCGGCUCAACCGAAGAACGUCGGCCGAUACUGCCGUUCUUGAGGGAUGCAGAGGAGAUUGGAAUUCCCGGUGUAGCGGUGAAAUGCGUAGAGAUCAUGAGGAAGACCAGUGGCGAAGGCGGGUCUCUGGACAGUUCCUGACACUGAGGCACGAAGGCCAGGGGAGCAAACGGG